AGGAUAAAGCAUGGCAACGUUUACAGGAAUGUAAUAGUGAGAAACUGUUGUUAUAACUUCUUUAGGAUGAAUGGAACCUGUGUAGAAUGUCCAAUCGGUCACUACUCUAAAGGCAUAAAAUGUAUGAAAUGCCGACAUGGACAAUUCGGGAGAAAAUGCGCAGAAACCUGUAGUUGUAGCAGAUCGGAAAGAUGCGAUCAUAGAGUUGGAUGCGUUACUAGC